ACGGAGGGUGCAAGCGUUAUUCGGAUUUAUUGGGCGUAAAGGGCGCGCAGGCGGCCCGUUAAGUCAGAUGUGAAAGCCCCCGGCUUAACCGGGGACGUGCAUUUGAAACUGGCAGGCUUGAGUAUGGGAGAGGAAAUCGGAAUUCCUGGUGUAGCGGUGAAAUGCGUAGAUCUCAGGAGGAACACCGGUGGCGAAAGCGGAUUUCCGGAACAAUACUGACGCUGAGGCGCGAAGGUGAGGGGAGAAAACCG
rnacentral:rRNA from 1 species